CAUUAUCGAGACCUGGGGUUCCUUUAUGGACCCCCCGAGCCUCCAUCCCGUGAUGUCUGACCGAAACGCUUGCUUCGGCGGGAUACCCCGUCGGCAGCUCCCGCAAACACACCGUUUUUGUGCCGUCUGAGCGAUCUUUACAAAUAGACAAAAACUUUCAACAACGGAUCUCUUGGUUCUGGCAUCGAUGAAGAACGCAGCGAAAUGCGAUAAGUAAUGCGAAUUGCAGAAUUCAGUGAGUCAUCGAAUCUUUGAACGCACAUUGCGCCCUCUGGCAUUCCGGGGGGCAUGCCUGUCCGAGCGUCGUUUCCACCGCCACAAGUUGGCUGGCCACGAGCCUUCGUGCUCGGUCAUGGGCUCUAUCGUUUUGAACGGUCUGCCCUAACACGAGGGCGUUCGAUGUUGGAUCUCCGACUGCAGUAGAAACAAAUCCAGUCUGGACGAACAACAUCGGCGUCCCCACCAACACGUGUAUCACCAUCCGUAGCCUGCGUAGCUUACCACCGUUGUUGAUGCACACGUUGAUCGGCCGGGUACCGUCGUACCAUUUCCGACCUCGGAUCAGGUAGGGAUACCCGCUG
rnacentral:rRNA from 1 species